AAAGGAGGAGAAACAUAAAUACAGUUCGAUCAAUAACACACAUAAAUUGGCAUCUUCGUCGAGACAAUUUUGAAAUCCAUUGCAUCCACGGGAGUAUACCUCUGCAGAGGAAGAGAAAGUUGGAGAGCUACAAAAAGUUAGAAAAAAGGGAAAAUAUACCUACUUCAGCGAGCUGAUAAAGAGAAGAGUGCAAGGCAUCAUGAGAUUUGCACAAAUGAUCUACAGAGCGAGGAGACGAAAAGUAAGUCAAUUUCAGACCUAUUCUAGGAGAAAACAUGUUGAUGAAAG
rnacentral:misc_RNA from 1 species